GGGGAAUAUUGCACAAUGGGCGGAAGCCUGAUGCAGCGACGCCGCGUGAGCGAAGAAGGCCUUCGGGUCGUAAAGCUCUGUCCUAUGGGACGAUAAUGACGGUACCAUAGGAGGAAGCCCCGGCUAACUACGUGCCAGCAGCCGCGGUAAUACGUAGGGGGCGAGCGUUGUCCGGAAUUACUGGGCGUAAAGGGUACGUAGGCGGCUAGGUAAGUCAGAUGUGAAAGGCAUGGGCUUAACCCAUGUAAGCAUUUGAAACUGCUUAGCUUGAGUCGAGGAGAGGAAAGCGGAAUUCCUGGUGUAGCGGUGAAAUGCGCAGAUAUCAGGAGGAACACCAGUGGCGAAGGCGGCUUUCUGGCCUUGGACUGACGCUGAGGUACGAAAGCGUGGGGAGCAAAC
rnacentral:rRNA from 1 species